rnacentral:tRNA from 1 species
GGCAAGAUGGCCGAGCGGUCUAAGGCGACCGAGUCAAGAUCUUAAUAUCUUGCCUCCUAACGAGGUGUUACUUCGGUUCUCGAAAGAGGCGUGGGUUCAAAUCCCACUCUUGUCA